UGUCCCGUGGCUCCAGCCCCGUUCCGCCCAGCUCUCAGGGAAACGAAGCGCUCAGUACGAACUUCUGAUAUUAGUUUUUAUGGGUAUUUACACUCUGGUGAGGGGAGCUGACUACGGAAGCUCCAUCAAUCAGCCCCCAACCUUGGGUUUAGAUAUUCAGUUUAU
ensembl:misc_RNA